AGGGGUAUUCCAGAAAGCAGGUUCAACACACUCUGAGUCUAUCCCUGAACUCUGAGUUGACUUACUCUGAGUCGGGAAACUCUGAGUAUCCGGUUCCAGAACAGCUGAUCUGAGUUAGUUCAAUCAACUCUGAGUAUGUUAACCUCGAGGUACGCGCGUGCACAACCACUGAAAAAAGCCAUCAUCAAUGGAGCCCCGAUACCACGAGUCACCAUGACAACCGAGAAAAAAAAAGAUCAACAUAUUUCAGUGCGAAGGAGUUGGAGAUCCUUAUGCUGGGCUACGGAGAAUAUGAGCACAUAUUUCACCGCGAAUGCAACACAGCUGCAGCAGCGAAGGAGAGAGAGACCGCAUGGGAGAAAAUUGCUGCCCGAGUCAACGCUUGUGGAUGGUGUAAUCUGCCUGGUUCAGCCUCCGACUGAAACAAUUGUUAACCCUGCAGCUGUAAGUAUUCCAUACUCAGAUCUUGCCUCAGAUGGUAGUUCAAAGUAUUCUGAAACAGUAUAUUUUCCUGCAUCACAGGAGGAGGAGGAGGAGGAGGAAGAGGAGGAGGAGGAGGAUGAUGAUGAGGAAACGCUGUCUGCUGCCACAGGGAGAGAUCCGGAGGGGCCUACUGAAAACAUGGCUGGGCAUCACCAAGAGGAGGGUCCAUCAACUUCUAGAGCACAGCUUGACACAGUGAGAUUUUCAGUCAAUACCAUGUUAAAUCUGUAUGUAGAACUGCAGGAAUUAAAUGUCGUCCAUAUGUUUCCCAGUUGCCGGUAAAAGAGUUGUACAGGGUGCACCUAAUGAAAACCAUUCAAAAAACUGAGAAAGAAAUGGUGUACCUGGACCGGCAAAUCAGUAAAACAGACUUGGAAAUUCUAUUACUUGAACGCCAGUUGAGGUGGGUGCAUUGUCAUGGUGAAACAGGUGAAUAUGUGAAAUAUGUUAAUAGUUGGAACUAUAUUACAAAUCCUGACUGUUGCUUUUGUACUUUUAGAGAAUAAAGAAGAACCAAAUCACAUGUGAAUUUGUCUUUUAUUUUUAAUCAAAACGUCUAAUCUGGGUCGGAAGAUUCUCGCACGACGUAAUGCAUUUCUAAUAAAUACGGCUUCGAUGUCGAUUGGAUUUCUAAUGAAUGGGCAAUCCGUGUCUAACUGCUUUCUUCGUGUGGGAGAAGAUAGGUAGAAACUCUGGGUUUCUUAUAGUAAACCUGCCAGCGAGCAGGUUAUGUUCACAGACUAAGUUACUGCAGUAACAGACCCAGAGUUUAAGUUACCUCUCUUUCUGGAACGGAUAACUCAGAGUUUCCCUCAUCUCAGGGUUAACAAACUCAGAGUUCUCACAUAACCCGCUUUCUGGAAUACCCC